GGUACAGCAUUGAAUAGGAAUAGUAGAAGGGUACAUUUUUUAAGAGAGUUGUCGUUUGGUGCAAGACAAUAGUUGUUAACUUUGAACUCGCCUAGGAGCUCUUUCCUUGAAAUAAUAGUAGGGGAAAGCGGGUAUUCUACGUUAUAAGAAUUUGAGUGCAUAUCUUUUUGAUAUGAAUUAGAGUGGUACCACGGAGAUUAGAUUACUUCGCCUCUUAC
rnacentral:ncRNA from 1 species